UGCGUAGGUGGUAACGCAAGUCUGGUGUGAAAUCUCGGAGCUCAACUCCGAAAUUGCACCGGAUACUGCGUGACUCGAGGACUGUAGAGGAGAUCGGAAUUCACGGUGUAGCAGUGAAAUGCGUAGAUAUCGUGAGGAAGACCAGUUGCGAAGGCGGAUCUCUGGGCAGUUCCUGACACUGAGGCACGAAGCCAGGGGAGCAAACG
rnacentral:rRNA from 1 species